GCCAUGGAGGGUCUGACUUGUUAGCUUUUAUAUUUCAGUAGCAUAGGAGGUGGAUUCUAUGGCUGUUUGUACGUAUGGUUUAAUGUUUUAAAAAAACAGCAAGCCUAAAAAACAAGUAGGGUACUUAAAAUCACAACCACCAUAAGAAAAAAAUAAUCCUGGUUUUGUUCUGCUAUUUUCCCAAAACACAUGGUCUGGACAUGGCCACUAUGGAUGUAGGUUAACGUUAGAGGGGCAAAGAGAGGAUCCAACUGACAGCGAAAAGCAGAGGAUUGUGAAUGUGAGCAGCACACAGACAUUUCUGAAUGAACUGUGUCCACAAGUCAAGUCUCUUUCUCUCCAGCUGAACCAACAACAUCAAAGGAGUGUGCUUCAAAUCGCAGGUGUUGAAGGAUUAAUCCCACCGCAGGAUGGGGUUUUAUUCUCAGCCUCAUCUUUGAUGUAGUGUCUCUUUCACUCACUUGUGUCUCUAACCGGUAACAUGGAUUGGUAACCUAGAGUAUCCUUUGCUAAACUGAAAAUAUGGAGUGUCUUCAUUCUCACAC